AUACUGUUCGUUGGGUUACCACAGGGUUACGAUUUUACUUCCCGAUCCUUCCACCAUCUUCCUUUUAUCUCCCACCGCUUCUUCAUCUCGAUCCUUCCACGGGGUUUCUCUUUAGAAGCAAUUGAGCUCCGCCAUCACCACCGUCUUCUUCAGUUCGUGUCAGCGUCGCCCCGGUUAGUUUAACCCUCCUCCUUAUAUAUUUCAUUUUUUAUGUCACACCCUCUAUCACAUAAUCGUCUGCUUCGCCACAGUUUCCCCACCAUAAAAGAACGACCACCCCCACUACCCUAAGAUACACAGUCCAACAAUGUCUUCCAUCUUGUGUAUCUUUGCUCUUGCCGACGACUUCUUCUCCGGCUUCAAUUUCAUCACCGGGCAACACAAAAAAAAAAAUUCAUGUCGGUUGUUCGAUUACUCUCUUAAGUGUGAGACAUAUGAUUUUGGGUUCAAUAGGCAUUUAAUCAGGUACCGCUACCUCUUAUUUCGUCUUUGGUUUUCACAUUUUCAUAAUUUUGGGUUUAUGCUUCUUUCAAUAUCGACGUGACUGGUCGAUUUUGGGUAUAUGAUAUGGACUCAUGGUAAUCGUCCUUCAAUUCUGAUCGCCAUAGAAGCUCGUCUUGUGUAACAAUCAAUUUCAACUCCACCCUCUAGGUCUUUUGGUUUCAAUAGUUCUGAGCAACAUAUACCACCGUCGACUCUUGUGAGGAGGCUGCAACCAGUUGGGCAAAGCAGAGCCCUUCUUAGGGUUUAGGCGCCACGAAUAAUGGGGGUUAGAUGCAAGUUUUGGUUGCUAAAAAAAGUGAUUUUGUGUGAUUCCCCGCUCCCCAAGACUGAGUAAGCUAAGCAAUAAGCAUUACCCAACACUUCCUCAAGAUUUUAACUUGGUGUAUUUCCAAUAUAGGUUCUACGGCAACCACUCUACAAAGUCGGAUGACAGGUGGAUUCAAUGCUCAAUAGACCCCUCCCGGUAAGUUUUGGCUCUUCUCCACUAUCCAUUAUCGAAUUCUUAGUUUUCCUCUUUCUAUAGUUGGUAGUUUGAUUCUAUCCCAUGUAAUGGAACAACUCUGUACUGGAAUCUAACCUUCAGAAUCACCUUAGACGGUGUCCAUUGCUCAAGCAUAAGAACUUGUUGUCCCUCCAACCUUUCUACCAAAAGGGCAUUAAUGGAGGCGAUGAAGAAGAUGAAGACGUUUCCUCAUAGUCCAAGAGGAUGGUUGUGCAAUCUAUCACUGUAAAUGAGUUGAUCAAACUAAUAGAAAAAAUAAAGUUUGUUCACGCUUACAUAUGCAACGACAUUGAAGACUCUUACAACAUCCCGAAAGUUUGUAGGAGUUGGAUUAACCACGCAAAUGACUGGUAUGGAAUGAAAACUGUAGCUUUCUAAUCCGAAUGCCUUUCCUCGUGUGGAUUUUAGAUGAAUUUUUUCCUAAAUAAGCAUACCUCAUGAGUCAUGACAAUAAGCUAAAGAGCUCUUAGAUAACUACAAUAAUUUUAUAGUCACAUACACUUUUAUUAGACUAAUAACAUAUGCAACAUAUACAUAUACUGGUGCCUUUAGUGCAACAUCAAUGAUUAUUUCAGGGUAUUGUGAUUCAUUAGUUACCCUUUCAAUUGUCGAUCCUAUUCAUGGUGCUUUAUAACUUUGAAGUCAUGUGAGUGCACGGAGUAUGUAUCAAUUGGUGCCAGCAACCAUGGACAAAACGAAGACCUUCUGUCACAAUCUCUAUUAGGGCUGGUUUUGGGUUCAUCAAAUGUUUACCAACCAGUUUCUGCAAACAUGAUUCAAUGCUUUCUCUUCGAAUUUCUCUUCCGAUCAGAUUCUAAAACCAAUUGUCAACCCCAAAUCAAAACUUAAGGUUAGGUCUUUUUCUUUUGCUAGAUUAUGGCUUAAUCUUCUUAAAAAAGUUCACAAAUGUUUCAAUUUCAGGUCCUUCUGAUAUCUUAUUAUGUCUUAUUUUUUCAGUAACAAUCAGGCUCAAGAACACUCAUCGAUUUUCUUCUUAUGUAAGUAUUUCUUUUUGUUGUUUAUUGAUGAUUUGAUGAAAUUCAAUGUUGAUGAAAUUCACAGAUGACCUGAACAAUGUGAUGAGCUGAAAUUUGUAUGAGUUGUAUGUGAAUCACUGAAUUGUACACAAAAGAGUUGACUUGAAUUAAGUAUACAUAUAUACCAUCAGCAUGUUUUGAAUAAACUAUGAAAUAUUUGUUUACAUUUUCUUGAAA